UACGUAGGGGCUAGCGUUAUCCGGAAUUACUGGGCGUAAAGGGCAGGCAGGCGGAUCCAUAAGUUUAUCGUUUAAGGCGUCGGCUUAACCGGCGUAGGGCGGUAGAUACUGUGGAUCUGGAAUGCGGUUGGGGAAGACAGAAUUCCUGGUGUAGCGGUGGAAUGCGCAGAGAUCAGGAGGAAUACCGAAGGCGAAGGCAGUCUUCCAAGCCGUUAUUGACGCUCAACUGCGAAGGUGUGGGUAUCAAACAGGAUUAGAUACCCCCGUAGUCCCUGAGCGGG
rnacentral:rRNA from 1 species